rnacentral:rRNA from 1 species
GACGAACGCUGGCGGCGUGCUUAACACAUGCAAGUCGAACGGGAUAAUUUGAGAGCUUGCUCUUAGAGAAUCUAGUGGCAAACGGGUGAGUAACACGUAGACAACCUGCCGACAGGAUGGGGACAACAUUCCGAAAGGAAUGCUAAUACCGAAUGAAGCGGAGGAGAGGCAUCUCUCCUCCGUGAAAGAUGGCCUCUGAAUAUGCUAUCACCUGUCGAUGGUUCUGCGUCUGAUUAGCUAGUUGGUGAGGUAACGGCUCACCAAGGCGACGAUCAGUAGCCGGUCUGAGAGGAUGAACGGCCACAUUGGGACUGAGACACGGCCCAGACUCCUACGGGAGGCAGCAGUGGGGAAUCUUCCGCAAUGGGCGCAAGCCUGACGGAGCAACGCCGCGUGAGUGAAGAAGGGCUUCGGAUCGUAAAGCUCUGUUGACGGGGACGAACGUGCGAAGGGUGAAUAAUCCUUUGUAAUGACGGUACCUGUCGAGGAAGCCACGGCUAACUACGUG